UAGGGAAUUUUGGACAAUGGGCGAAAGCCUGAUCCAGCAAUGCCGCGUGUGUGAUGAAGGCCUUCGGGUUGUAAAGCACUUUUGGUAGGAACGAAACGGUCCGUGCUAAUACCAUGGAUCAAUGACGGUACCUGCAGAAUAAGCACCGGCUAACUACGUGCCAGCAGCCGCGGUAAUACGUAGGGUGCGAGCGUUAAUCGGAAUUACUGGGCGUAAAGCGUGCGCAGGCGGUUCUGUAAGACCGAUGUGAAAUCCCCGGGCUUAACCUGGGAACUGCAUUGGUGACUGCAGGGCUAGAGUGUGUCAGAGGGAGGUGGAAUUCCGCGUGUAGCAGUGAAAUGCGUAGAGAUGCGGAGGAACACCGAUGGCGAAGGCAGCCUCCUGGGAUAACACUGACGCUCAGGCACGAAAGCGUGGGGAGCAAACAGG
rnacentral:rRNA from 1 species